ensembl:lncRNA
GGGUACAUUGACAUUUAUUUUAUUUCUCAUGACUAGAGGUCCAUUGACAUGUAUUUUAUUUCUCAUGACUAGAGGUCCAUUGACAUUUAUUUUAUUUCUCAUGACUAGAGGUCCAUUGACAUUUAUUUUAUUUCUCAUGACCAGGGGUCCAUUACAAAACCUUCACUGGAAUCUUCAUGCACUCAAUAUCCUGUUCUUGUUCAGGAUGGAUGAUUCAUACUUGUUUGUGAAGUAAACAUCCACUCUUCAAAACUGAAACAACUAUAUAAACAUUGUUCAAAAAGCAUUUCAGGCCUAAAGCUCUCAGCCAGAGACUUUAUCCCCCUUUCCACAUUGUGCAGUACUCUUCCCAGUGUAACCAGCCACCUGCAACAAGCUGCUGCAACAAUCGGUUUGCAUAACCAAAGAAUUUCUGCACAAACUGUCAGAAACCUUCUCAGGGAAGCUCAUCUGCAAGCUCAUCGUCCUCAUCGGGGUCUCGACCUGACUGCAGUUCGUCGUUGUAACCAACUUGAGUGGGCAAAUGCUCACAUUCGAUGGCAUCUGGCACUUUGGAGAGGUGUUCUCUUCAUGGAUGAAUCCCGGUUUUCACUGUACAAGGCAGAUGGCAGACAGCGUGUAUGG